UACGGAGGGUGCAAGCGUUAUCCGGAUUUACUGGGUUUAAAGGGUGCGUAGGCGGCUUAUUAAGUCAGGGGUGAAAGACUGCAGCUCAACUGUAGCAGUGCCUUUGAUACUGAUGAGCUUGAGUACAGAUGAGGCUGGCGGAAUGGGUGGUGUAGCGGUGAAAUGCAUAGAUACCAUCCAGAACACCGAUUGCGAAGGCAGCCGGCUAAACUGUAACUGACGCUGAGGCACGAAAGCGUGGGGAUCGAACAGG
rnacentral:rRNA from 1 species